CGUCAAAUCAGCACGGCCCUUAUAUCCAGGGCUACACACGUGUUACAAUGGUCAAGACAGAGGGCAGCAAUAACGUGAGUUUGAGCUAAUCCUAAAAAUUGAUCUUAGUUCGGAUCGGAGUCUGCAACUCGACUCCGUGAAGCUGGAUUCGCUAGUAAUCGCAGAUCAGCCAUGCUGCGGUGAAUACGUUCCCGGGCCUU
rnacentral:rRNA from 1 species